GACGAACGCUGGCGGCGUGCCUAAUACAUGCAAGUAGAACGCUGAAGGAGGAGCUUGUUUCUCUGGAUGAGUUGCGAACGGGUGAGUAACGCGUAGGUAACCUGCCUGGUAGCGGGGGAUAACUAUUGGAAACGAUAGCUAAUACCGCAUAAGAGUAGAUGUCGCAUGACAUUUGCUUAAAAGGUGCAAUUGCAUCACUACCAGAUGGACCUGCGUUGUAUUAGCUAGUUGGUGAGGUAACGGCUCACCAAGGCAACGAUACAUAGCCGACCUGAGAGGGUGAUCGGCCACACUGGGACUGAGACACGGCCCAGACUCCUACGGGAGGCAGCAGUAGGGAAUCUUCGGCAAUAGACGGAAGUCUGACCGAGCAACGCCGCGUGAGUGAAGAAGGUUUUCGGAUCGUAAAGCUCUGUUGUAAGAGAAGAACGAGUGUGAGAGUGGAAAGUUCACACUGUGACGGUAUCUUACCAGAAAGGGACGGCUAACUACGUG
rnacentral:rRNA from 1 species